GCCUUAUACAUACUGUAUGUAUGAAUUUAUUUUGUUUAAAAAAUAUCGAAAUUACAACAUGCAAUAAUUACUAUAUGUACAGUAAAGUGUACUUUGGAUUUUCAUAUUUACUGUAUACAUGAUGCACGCAAUUGUUGGUACCAAUGUUUUAAAUUUAAACCAUCUUCACUUGUCUGAACGUCUAGAAGAACAUAAUUAUUAUAUACACAAUAUGUCUUUUAAAUUAACGUGAUGUGACUGUUGAUUGUUGAUGUAUUGUUGCAAGUUUUCAUAUUCUUUCCAAGUUACGAUAGUCUACUGUCUACCGUAUUUCCCAUUUGGUAAACAAGUCCUACUAUUGGUUUUUUGUCCAAUAUAUAAAUGUUUCGUAUUUAUUAGCAUGUACAGGUAGUGUCCAUUGUUGGCCAUCGUUAUUGUCCAGAAGGUAUAUAUGUAACAUCUUGACACACAAAUACAAUGUUCCUGACACCCAUAUGGUAGAUUGGAAACAGGUAUGGCAAAAAUAAUACAUGGCAGAUUCCAUCCCAUUGCAUUAGAUGUAAUAUAUCCAUACAAUCUUCUAAUUCAGCAUUAUUGUUUUAAUAGAAAUUCAUUUCUGUUAAUCCAGAAGCUUCCAUCCACUUUCAUGCGAUGUAAUAUAUCCAUAUUAUAUUUUGGCUUUAACAACCAUUUGGUUUCAUCCAGCAGUUAACAUCUGAUGGUACCAUUCACAUCCGUCAGAAUUGCAAAACUAUAGAAAAAAUAAU